AGUGAACGCUGGCGGUAGGCCUAACACAUGCAAGUCGAACGGCAGCACAGUAAGAGCUUGCUCUUACGGGUGGCGAGUGGCGGACGGGUGAGGAAUACAUCGGAAUCUACUUUUUCGUGGGGGAUAACGUAGGGAAACUUACGCUAAUACCGCAUACGACCUACGGGUGAAAGCAGGGGAUCUUCGGACCUUGCGCGAUUGAAUGAGCCGAUGUCGGAUUAGCUAGUUGGCGGGGUAAAGGCCCACCAAGGCGACGAUCCGUAGCUGGUCUGGGAGGAUGAUCGGCCACCCUGGAACUGAGACACGGUCCAGACUCCUACGGGAGGCAGCAGUGGGGAAUAUUGGACAAUGGGCGCAAGCCUGAUCCAGCCAUACCGCGUGGGUGAAGAAGGCCUUCGGGUUGUAAGGCCCUUUUGUUGGGAAAGAAAAGCAGCAGGUUAAUACCCCGCUGUUCUGACGGUACCCAAAGAAUAAGCACCGGCUAACUUCGUG
rnacentral:rRNA from 1 species